GACGAACGCUGGCGGCGUGCUUAACACAUGCAAGUCGAACGGUGAACCUCUUCGGAUGGUCUCAGUACCGAACGGGCGAGUAACUCGUUGGCAACCUGCCCCCGGCCCUGUGAUAACUCCAAGACAUUGGGGCUAAUACCCUAAUUUCACCGCUUCCCGCAAGCGUGGUGGUUGAAUGGGUUUCCAGCUUGGGAUGGGCCCGCGGCCUAGCAGCUUGUUCGUGGUGUAGUGGCCUACCAAGGCGACGACGGGUAGCCGGCCUGAGAGGGUCACCGGCCACAAUGGGACUGAGGCACGGCGCAGACUCCUACGGGAGGCAGCAGUGGGGAAUAUUGCGCAGUGGGCGGACGCCUGACGCAGCGACGCCGCGUGGGGGAUGACGGCCUUCGGGUUGUAAACCUCUUUCUGCAGGGACGAAGCGCAAGUGACGGUACCUGCAGAAGAAGCACCGGCCAACUACGUG
rnacentral:rRNA from 1 species